rnacentral:rRNA from 1 species
AGGACGAACGCUGGCGGCGUGCUUAACACAUGCAAGUCGAACGAGGCGCUUGCGCCUAGUGGCGAACGGGUGAGUAACACGUGAGCAACCUGCCCUUGGCUCUGGGAUAGCCUCCGGAAACGGGGAUUAAUACCGGACAUGACCCGUGAUUGCAUGAUCACGGGUGGAAAGUUUUUCGGCCAGGGAUGGGCUCGCGGCCUAUCAGCUUGGUUGGGGGGGUAACGGCCCACCAAGGCGACGACGGGUA